GCUUGGCUGUGGGCGCUCCCUGGCUUUGACACUUCUCACCCCUGCGAAAGGUGGUGGCUGCUGGGCCACAGUCCUGGCUGCGUUUUGAACUCAGCAGGAGGUUUGGCUGCUCAAAUGGCUGGAAUCCAUCGGGAAUGCCCUGCAGAGGCAGCUCCUGCCUUUCCCAGACAUAGGGUGCUGCCAUAUUCUGUACUGGGACAUGUCAGCUCCACCUGAAAUGCCCUGCAGGAGCUGUGUCUGGAGCCACUACAGGCUUCCACCAAGCCCUGCAAGACAUCUGCAAUGGGAACCCUUUCUCUCCAAAUGGUGAUCUGCACCUCUUAGAAGAUGCACUCUGCAUUACUGCAGUUUGGUCACUGGGUACGUACGGGAAAAUAGGUCAGGAAGCAAAAAGAACAGGAGCUGAGAAGGAGGAUAAUUACAGUGAGCAGGUGUUCCUCUUAGACUGUAACUGGGCUGCUGGGAAUGAUGCACUUUCAGUGCUGAGCUCCCCCGACACUCUCCAGUUUUUCAUCUGGCCGUAGUCAGCAAGGGACUGCAGUUGGGCCAGGCGAUGGGGAAUCACCCUAAACCCCUGGGCAUGGUGGAGUGGAAGGGUAAUGGCUUGCUUUCAACUAGACAAUAUUCAAAGUCAUUUCUCCCCCUCUUCUAGCUCACCGCAUGAUUUACAAACCAGGAAACACACGGCCCUUUGUUCUUACGCUGUCUGAUUUAGACAGUCGGUACGUGCUUUGCGGUGAACAGCGGUCGUCCUGGUGAGUUGUGCUGAUAAGCUCUGAUCUUUGCACUGCCUUGGAGAGAAGGCAGCUAUCUGCUGUCUUCCAUCCCAGCACUGGGGGCUGCCUCAGUGCACAGUGACCAUGGCAGUGGAUGGGGAUGCUGCCAGCCAGGGACUAGCCCAGUGCAGUGGCUUAUUUGCUGCUGCUUUCUGACACCACACUGAAUGCCCGUGAGAGCCCCAGCGUCUUCCCACCAACACCUCAACAUUUCCACCUGACACUGCUGUGAGGGGUCAGGCUUGGGCAAGAACCACUUCAGUGAUGGUUCGUCAGGUCACCAGUAAAGGGUCUCUUUGUCCUUUAGGAGGGGAGCCACACAUUUGUGGCAUAGGAACGUGUGUGAGAGGAGGCCUGCAGAGAAGGUGGUGGUGUGGUUACUGAUGUGACAUGCUGCUUAGAGGGGGAAAGUCUGAUGUGGAGUCAUCCCCAAUGUCUUGAGUGGGUAAUGCAGUGCUGCCUGGAGGGAGGAGUACCAGCACUUCUGAGAUCACUUUGACAUCCUUCUUAGUACCAGGGGGUUUCAGUGGCAACAAAAUGCACUUUUAUGUUGAAAUGCAGAACUAAACGCCCCAAAUUUCCAGAGCCAUGAAAAGAGGGGCCUGCACAGAAGAUAAGUCAACCUUUUGUAAUAGUGAGAUCCUUACACCUUUCAUCCAUAGAGGAACUCUUUAUCCUGAAGGAAUUCCACUCUGCAUCUUCUUCUCAGGAGCAUCCCUGAACCCAUGGUUUGUUGAAGAAUUGCAGAUUUUGCUGGAUACUCUAGAGAUGUUCUGGGAAUCCCUAAGGGACCAGCCGGGCUGUCACAAAGUAAGUAGUUUGUGAAUCUCAGCAGAAGAUUUAUGAUGAUCUUGGCCAUAGCAGUGGCACCCAAGGGCAUGCACAGGGCAGAAUUUUAAGUACCUGAGAAUACUGUUCUCAGAAAAAAAUCCUCUUUUCCUAUGUCCUCUCAGGUGUAUCACUGGGCUAGGAGGGGUUUGGUAGCUUGUUUUGCUAGUCACCCAAAUUCGCCCUUGCAUUGCAAUUCAAGAGCUCAUGAACACAUUUUCACUCCCUUGUGGGCUAGAAAUGAAGAUUGAUUCAGUCAUUGCCUUUUCUGUAGUCGCCUAAUGUGUAGGUUAUAAGUGCUAGGCGUGAUUAUAGUAACUUCCCUCUCCUAUAAGCUGCACUCUUCCUUGCUAGCCUCAAUGUAGAAGACCAUCUGCCCAAAGCUGAGAGGCAGAAGGCUGGUCAGUUUUGUCUCCUUUGGGUGAUAGGAUGUUUCCUUCUGGGAGUUUGAUCUCAAACACUGCAGCAUCAUUGCCCCAGUUGCUGCUAUCACUGCUCUGCAGCACUGGAGUAUCAGAGCGUUGCUCAUGUAAGCUGUUUUGCAGCCUGCAGCGACAACUAUCUGCAAUUUAUGAUGAACAGGAUUACUGAAAUACUGCGAGACAGCAGCCAAAGGACUUGCCAUACAGGCAGUGGAGCUGUGGUAAAUCAGGCUGUGGAGUUACCCGUGCACUUCCAGAAAAGGAAGGCUAUGCAGCUGCAGGAAUAACGCAUUGCCCCACUGGUGCUGGAACCUGUCUUUGGCAAAAGGUUUGCAUAAAGGAGUUGUGACUGUGCAAGCCUACACUCCAUAACUGCAGUUACCUACACCUACUGGGCUUUUUGUCUCAGGCUCACCUCUGUAAUUAGAUGAAGUGAUAACCAAGUGGCAUGCCAGCAUCUGUGGCACAGCUCCUGGGCUUGCAGAACCCGUACUGCUGCUGACUUCUAUUAGUCACUCUCAACAGUGGCUAUUAAUGCAGCCAGGUACAAACUGGUUUUUACUUUGUUCCUCUUGGGUGAGUGAUCCUGGCUGUGAUUCUGCAAGUUGAUUAGGUCCCUGCUGCCAAAAUCGGUGGGGACAAGAUAUCUAAAUGCUUUUCAGAAUGUGAGACCUGUGGGACUGUUCUGCUUGAGCAAUUCAAAUUCAUGGAAGGAUCCCUAUAAAUAUUUCAUGGCCCCAAGGACAAACUAUGUUGUGGCUGCAAAGCUAGGCACAUAUAUGCCUCCAGAAGAAUAAACACAUUGCAGCAGCAAUGAGAAACUCUACUCUUAGCCUGUCAGUACUUACAGCUGGCAUGCAGAAAGACAGAGUAUAGUUAAUAUUUUAGAAAUAGGUUUUGCACCAAUAUAGGUUUUCAGUUUUCAAUAUGUCUUUUAAAUGAAGCAGAAGUUACAUGCCUAUCUGCCCCCAGAUUUUCCUCAUUAGCAUUAAUCAAGCACACUUGACUCGCUUACAGAUGAAUUUGAUUAGGUUCAUGUAUACUCUUAGGAACCAAAAAUAAUAAAACACAACUUGAGCGUACGUGCUGCUGCAGCCAACAUUGUUGCUUGGUAUCUGCUGCAGCAGUGAACUAACAGAUAAUUCCUAGAACUGGGAUCCAAACCAUUGGCAACAGGAGAUGCUAAAUGGCACAUAUGACAUAAAGAAAGCAGGACCACACAAAGUGGAAAAGCUAUAAAGUGCACAGUUGUUUAAAUGACUGUAUAGUUGGUUGAGAUUCUUUAUUUUCUGACACAGAAAGAGCUACAAUGGAAAACUUCACCCUGUCUACAUGCAUACACAAAUAUUUUUGCAUGUGUCCCAGCCUGUGUAGCUGUUAGAUCUGUGAGCUCACUUACGCUUCUUGUUUUAUAAUGCCAACAGAUUCUUCUGUUCAUCGGCUUUCAGCACCGAAGGAAAAAGAUGUCUUCCAAGAACAACAGUAAAAAGCAUUUGAGCUGUACAUCGAGCAUGUACAGCAGUGUAGCUCUGUGCAAAUCAUGUUUUAUCCACUCGCCACUGCAAGUGUAAAUAUACGCAAAGCCUACGUGCACAGGCACCCCUUGAGAAGCCGGCAGGGGAUGUAUCAUUGCACUGCCUGUAGAAUUGUUUGUUGAUAAGAAGAAAAAUGCAGAACAGAGAAGUGUUUCUGUUUUGACAGUUUAUUGAUAUUCCACAUAAAUUACUCUGACCUUCUCUCAUCCUCUUUUUUGGCUUUUUUUUUUUUUUCAGAGAGUUUUAUUGUGUGGUAAUUCUUAUGCACACCCAUCUCACCAGCGAGGUCCCUGAGGACUGCCUAUGUGAUAAAAAGAUGCAAGACUAUAUGUAUUAUCUCUUAUCCCUGCUAACACGACAACCACCUGGGCCUUUGACAGACCUGAAAUCUUCUGCAUUGUUUACCUAAGUGACAGAAAAUGCCUUUAAGAGGAGAAGUAGGCAUAUGAAAAGGGAAUAAUACAUAAAGAAACAUCUGCACUGAGGUCAUUUGUCACUUUUGGAAAGGUCUUGGAAAACAGUACAUACAUUUGGUAUAGCGUCAUGCUCAUGACACUAUGGGUCUUCUAUUCACUCACAGGCCUUAUCUGGCAUGUAUCAAGCUUUUAUUAUGUUUGUAGGAUCCGUGCUGCAUGCACAGGCUGCAGGGUCCUCCCUGACCCUGCCCAGUUCUCGCACUGUCUUAGGAGGCACUGCCCUCCCUGCUAUGCAAUGCUUACUUUGGAGCAGGUGCUUUGUACAUUAGCUUUUUGCUUUUCUCUUUUGCCAUUUCCCCCAUUUGCCAAACAAGUCCCUGGGGCAUCCUGUGCCAUCUCUGCUUGGCAGUCUCUGAGCUGUUGCUGCAGACUUGGCUGAGGGGUGACUUUGCCCCAAGCCUCCACCCUCCAUCACAAGGACUUCCCAUUUCCUCAAAUCCUCCAAAACACAUUUAAGAACCACUUCUUCAGAAACAAAAUCCACCUAAGCAAAUGCAGAUGGUGACUGUGCUGCUAAGGAGCAGCGGAUGCCCUGGGAGCGAGUGUUGAUAGAUUUCCACAUGAAUUCAGAUCCCUACCAAGAAGUUGCAGUUCCUGUGAGCUCUCACCCGUUACUGUUAUAACAGCACCAGAUAUAUGUUCAUGGUGUUGCACAACUUCCUCCAAGUUAAAAUGUAUGGUGUGGGAGUCAGCUUGGAAGGGAAGUGGUAAAGCAGCAUCUUCACUGGCUGUGGGUGCUGUUGCAUCUCCUGUGCUUCCACUGCUUACUGGUUUAUGAAACACCAGAACUGCCUUGGGAGUAUCUCACUGGUAAAAAUUGAGCUAUGAGGGGAAUAUGCAAAGAAAAGAAAGUUUGAAAAGCAGAAAUGUAUUUCAUACAAGGGUUUUACGGUCUUUGUCAAGUGCAGAUGUGUCAAAAUGAUUCCACUGGAAACUUUAUAUAAAAUGGUUAAUGUAAAGGGGUUCUUGCAAUCCUGGCAUCUCCUUCCCCUCUCUCAAGAGCUGUUGUAGCUCACGACAGCUCUGUUCUGCAUACUGGGAACAUCAGCAGCUGGAAAUUAUCGUUUGUUAGUCUUACUCUUUCUGUAACUUGUUUCAGAGAUUCUACUGGUAAUGAGGGCUUUUGCCCUUUUACCUUUGGGACAGCUUGGAAUUCCUCUCAGAGCCAGAAAUCACUGAAUUAUAACUAGCAGGGAAAAAAAGUAGCAUUUAGUACGGUAUUCAGACGAGUUGUGGGCAUUCCUUAAAUUCCUUCAGAGGACAGUCAGAGGGACAGACGUGUCAUUGCAGCUCUGGGCUCUCUUUCUCCAUUGCUCUGCUAUUGCAUGAUGCUCUUCUUAAAAACUCCCCCUUGCUUAUUUGCCUUUCUAAAGAUUUUACCUGAGUUCUCAGCUGCCUUUUGGACUUAUA